rnacentral:rRNA from 2 species
GAUGGUGCUUGCACCUGAUUGACGAUGGAUCACCAGUGAGUGGCGGACGGGUGAGUAACACGUAGGUAACCUGCCCCGGAGCGGGGGAUAACAUUUGGAAACAGAUGCUAAUACCGCAUAACAACAAAAGCCACAUGGCUUUUGUUUGAAAGAUGGCUUUGGCUAUCACUCUGGGAUGGACCUGCGGUGCAUUAGCUAGUUGGUAAGGUAACGGCUUACCAAGGCGAUGAUGCAUAGCCGAGUUGAGAGACUGAUCGGCCACAAUGGAACUGAGACACGGUCCAUACUCCUACGGGAGGCAGCAGUAGGGAAUCUUCCACAAUGGGCGCAAGCCUGAUGGAGCAACACCGCGUGAGUGAAGAAGGGUUUCGGCUCGUAAAGCUCUGUUGUUGGAGAAGAACGUGCGUGAGAGUAACUGUUCACGCAGUGACGGUAUCCAACCAGAAAGUCACGGCUAACUACGUGCCAGCAGCCGCGGUAAUACGUAGGUGGCAAGCGUUAUCCGGAUUUAUUGGGCGUAAAGCGAGCGCAGGCGGUUGCUUAGGUCUGAUGUGAAAGCCUUCGGCUUAACCGAAGAAGUGCAUCGGAAACCGGGCGACUUGAGUGCAGAAGAGGACAGUGGAACUCCAUGUGUAGCGGUGGAAUGCGUAGAUAUAUGGAAGAACACCAGUGGCGAAGGCGGCUGUCUGGUCUGCAACUGACGCUGAGGCUCGAAAGCAUGGGUAGCGAACAGGAUUAGAUACCCUGGUAGUCCAUGCCGUAAACGAUGAGUGCUAGGUGUUGGAGGGUUUCCGCCCUUCAGUGCCGGAGCUAACGCAUUAAGCACUCCGCCUGGGGAGUACGACCGCAAGGUUGAAACUCAAAGGAAUUGACGGGGGCCCGCACAAGCGGUGGAGCAUGUGGUUUAAUUCGAAGCUACGCGAAGAACCUUACCAGGUCUUGACAUCUUGCGCUAACCUUAGAGAUAAGGCGUUCCCUUCGGGGACGCAAUGACAGGUGGUGCAUGGUCGUCGUCAGCUCGUGUCGUGAGAUGUUGGGUUAAGUCCCGCAACGAGCGCAACCCUUGUUACUAGUUGCCAGCAUUAAGUUGGGCACUCUAGUGAGACUGCCGGUGACAAACCGGAGGAAGGUGGGGACGACGUCAGAUCAUCAUGCCCCUUAUGACCUGGGCUACACACGUGCUACAAUGGACGGUACAACGAGUCGCAAGCUCGCGAGAGUAAGCUAAUCUCUUAAAGCCGUUCUCAGUUCGGACUGUAGGCUGCAACUCGCCUACACGAAGUCGGAAUCGCUAGUAAUCGCGGAUCAGCAUGCCGCGGUGAAUACGUUCCCGGGCCUUGUACACACCGCCCGUCACACCAUG